rnacentral:rRNA from 1 species
GAAAUGCGAUACGUAAUGUGAAUUGCAGAAUUCAGUGAAUCAUCGAAUCUUUGAACGCACCUUGYGCCCCUUGGUAUUCCGAGGGGCACACCCGUUUGAGUGUCGUGAACAUCCUCAACCUUCUUGGUUUCUCAACCGGGGAAGGCUUGGACUUUGGAGGUUUUCUCUUGCUGGCCUUCCUUUGAAGCCGGCUCCUCCUAAAUGGAUUAGUGGGGUCCGCUUUGCCGAUCCUUGACGUGAUAAGCGUGCUUCUACGUCUUGGGUUUCGCRCUGCCUCGGCCUGGAACCCGCUUCCAACGGUCUCUCUUUUGAAAGACGAUCUUAGAACCUUGACCUCAAAUCGGGUGAGACUACCCGCUGAACUUAA